rnacentral:rRNA from 1 species
CUGGAUACCAGUAGUAACAGGUUUGAUUCUGGCCUGUAGAUUGAACGCUGGCGGGAUGCUUUACACAUGCAAGUCGAACGGCAGCACGGACUUCGGUCUGGUGGCGAGUGGCGAACGGGUGAGUAAUGUAUCGGAACGUGCCUAGUAGCGGGGGAUAACUAUUGGGCGAAAGGUAGCUAAUACCGCAUACGCCCUUCGGGGGAAAGCGGGGACCUCUUCGGGCCUCGCACUAUUAGAGCGGCCGGAUAUCGGAUUAGCUAGUUGGUGGGGUAACGGCUCACCAGCGACGAUCCGUAGCUGGUUUGAGAGGACGACCAGCCACACUGGGACUGAGACACGGCCCAGACUCCUACGGGAGUGCAGCAGUGGGGAAUUUUGACAAUGGGGAAACUCCUGGACCCAGCCAUCCCGCGUGUGCGAUGAAGGCCUUCGGGUUGUAAAGCACUUGGCAGGGAAGAAACGGCACGGGAUAAUACCCCGUGCAACUGACGGUACCUGCAGAAUAAGCACCGGCUAACUACGCCAGCAGCUGCGGUAAUACGUAGGGUGCAAGCGUUAAUCGGAAUUACUGGCGUAUGCAGGCGGUUCGGAAAGAAAGAUGUGAAAUCCCAGAGCUUAACUUUGGAACUGCAUUUUUAACUACCGAGCUAGAGUGUCAGGGAGGGAGGUGGAAUUCCGCGUGUAGCAGUGAAAUGCGUAGAUAUGCGGAGGAACACCGAUGGCGAAGGCAGCCUCCUGGGAUAACACUGACGCUCAUGCACGAAAGCGUGGGGAGCAAACAGGAUUAGAUACCCUGGUAGUCCACGCCCUAAACGAUGUCAACUAGCUGUUGGGGCCUUCGGGCCUUGGUAGCGCAGCUAACGCGUGAAGUUGACCGCCUGGGAAAAUAAGUCGCAAGAUUAAAACUCAAAGGAAUUGACGGGGACCCGCAUAAGCGGUGGAUGAUGUGGAUUAAUUCGAUGCAACGCGAAAAACCUUACCUACCCUUGACAUGUCUGGAAUCCCGAAGAGAUUUGGGAGUGCUCGCAAGAGAACCGGAACACAGGUGCCAUGGCUGUCGUCAGCUCGUGUCGAGAUGUUGGGUUAAGUCCCGCAACGAGCGCAACCCUUGUCAUUAUUGCUGGCCAGAAAGGGCACUCUAAUGAGACUGCCGGUGACAAACCGAGGAAGGUGGGGAUGACGUCAAGUCCUCAUGGCCCUUAUGGGUAGGGCUUCACACGUCAUACAAUGGUCGGGACAGAGGGUCGCCAACCCGCGAGGGGGAGCCAAUCCCAGAAACCCGAUCGUAGUCCGGAUCGCAGUCUGCAACCUGACUGCAGAAGUCGGAAUCGCUAGUAAUCGCGGAUCAGCAUGUCGCGGUGAAUGUUCCCGGGUCUUGUACACACCGCCCGUCACACCAUGGGAGUGGGUUUUACCAGAAGUAGUUAGCCUAACCGGGAGGGCGAUUACCACGGCAGGAUUCAUGAUCAGGUAAAGUCAACAAGGUAG